UACGUAGGGUGCGAGCGUUAAUCGGAAUUACUGGGCGUAAAGCGUGCGCAGGCGGUUUGCUAAGAGAGAUGUGAAAUCCCCGGGCUUAACCUGGGAACUGCGUUUCUAAACUGGCAGGCUUGAGUGUGGCAGAGGGGGGUGGGAAUUCCACGUGUAGCAGGUGAAAUGCGUAGAGAUGUGGAGGAACACCGAUGGCGAAGGCAGCCCC
rnacentral:rRNA from 1 species